UUGUUCUAUUUGAUCUUAUUUGAUUGUGCAUGCCAGGAUUGCAUUCGUUGAAACAGGGCGGACCACGUGAACGUUGCAACCUCCCACCCCUUGUUUCACUAGUUCCACAGUUCACCACAUUGUAUCCCUCUUGGUUGUGGUGUUCAACCUCUCCUCUUAAUAGUGGAGUGAAAAAGUCAUCACUCAGGGUCAGGUUAAGUGUUUGUACAAUUAGCAAAGAAAUAGUUGUCAAGGGAGAGGUCGAGGGGUGAUCUUAUAGGGGUGUAUAAAAUAAUGAGGGGAAUAGAUAGAAUGAAUGCAGUAUUUUUCCCAAGGUAGGGUGAAUCAAGAACUAAAGAGCAUAGAUUUACAGCGUGAGGGGAGAGAUUUAAUAGAAACCUAAGGGGCAACUUUUUCCACACAAAGGGUGAAGGGUUUAUAGAAUGAGCUGCCAGAGGAGGUAGUUGAGGAAGGUACAAUAACAACAUUUAAAAGACAUUUGGACAGGUACAUGGAUAGGAAAGGUUUAGAGGGGUACGGGCCAAAUGCAAGCAAAUGGAACUAGCUUAGAUGUGGUAUCUUGGUCGGCAUGGACAAGUUGGGCUGAAGGGGGUGUCUCCAUGUCAUGUGACUUUAUAGUGCUACAUAUGUGGUCUCAGCAAAGUCAUACGAAACAAUUUUAUUCUUUGUACUCAAAUUUGCUUGCAAUAAAACCCAACAUUGAACUUG